UUUGUGGUUUUACAUAAAAACAGUUUGAUGUUUUCCAAUUUGAAGCCAAGCAAAUUUUCGAACAUGAAUAGAAGCAAAAUAUUGAAGAGGAAAGCUAAAAUAGUUUGCCCACUAUCAAGCAAAUUUAUGUGCAGAGUUCUAAUCAAUGAAGAUUGAAUUCUUUGCAAGUAUUUUAGACAUCCUGGCAAGACAUCGUCACAGGAAAAGAAAAUGGUGGAAAUGAAUUGAAAGAAAGUAUCAAUUCGCCGAUUGGGUUCUAGAUAUUGACUCAAUCGAUAAACUACAAAAAUAAAUCAGCCAGUGCACGCCCCCGAUGGAUUGGACGCAUGUACGUGUCAUUUCUACGGCCAGAAUGCAACGUACUAUAUCCCAGUCAUCGCGAUAACAUGACUAUCCUCUUCCAUGUUGUGAAGUCUUUUUUUCCUUGACGCCAUGCAUCUAAGAUUUACGAUCAAGCGUGCAAAGUCCUUACAACCACCAACCGGGAUAAAAGGAUUCUGAGUCGUCGAUCAAUCAGGUACGUGCACGCAGUGUGUAUAGGCUAUAUCCACUGUCCUUUGCGUACAGGCAACUACCCACUCAAUCACCCGACACAUUCACAUCAUACUUGGAAGACCAAAACUAAACGACGUGGCCAAAUCCUCGCCUACAAAAAGUUUACAUCCAUGAGGAAAACAAAAUCAAUGCUAAUGCACCAUUUUGCUUUGAUUUAUUUAGAAACCCGGGCUAACCUGAAAAGCCUUAAACUAAUGAAAAAUCAACUGAAACGACUUCUCCUUUUUUAACGGAUGAUUUCAGCGAGAUGAGCAACUUUAAGGUCUUCAAGGAAGGCUUUCGAGUCCGUAAUGGGUUCCGGUGACAGGAAAGAAACAGUUUUGGUGGCCGUAGGCAUUAGGAAUCCAU